rnacentral:snRNA from 1 species
GGUUGUGAGAAUGAUCUGGUUGCAACAUCUGUCACCACAUUGAUCUCUAGGGUUGAUUCACUGAUCUGGCUGGCUAUUUGGGUGUGCCCAUCCUCCUUCAGCACUCCAUGUGCAUCCCUCCAGAAGCUGUGGACAUGGUGGAGUAGGAGGACCUUCCCUGAAGAGAGGAGGACUGGUCUUUGGUCUAGGGUAUACCAGUAGCUGUGCUCCCCUGCUACAACCUCUAAACAAGCUUUCAAGUAAAUUUGAGAUUCUAAUAUAGAAAAUGCAUUAUGUCACAUUUAUAACUAGUUUCUUUUUAUGGGAUUUACAAGUAUUU